rnacentral:misc_RNA from 1 species
GACAUCUAAGCAAAUCAACCAAACUACAAUUUACAACUUCAAUUUUGCCAUCUCUCUUUGGGUAAAAAGCUGAAGAAAAUUUUAAAUUAGCAUCAAAUAACUUCCAAAGCAUAGCUAUUAAAGGCUCAAUGUGCAUUAUAUUUAAUUAUCAUUUUGUUUGGAAAGUUGCAACUUUCUUGUGGAUUUGGAUUGCUUUUUGUGAAUGUUUGCAGAGAUGGUGCGCAGGUGUGCGCAAAAGAGAGAAACAAACAUAC